CGGUGUUUAACUGGCGUGAUGUGGGACGUCCUACCGGUGGGCUUAGCCUCGCGAGGGGCGGCCCAACUAAUAUCCCGUCGCGGUGCUCUUUACUGAGUGUCGAGUCGGGCCGGUACGUUUACUUUGAACAAAUUAGAGUGCUUAAAGCAGGCUAUCCUCGCCUGAAUACUGCGUGCAUGGAAUAAUGGAAUAGGACCUCGGUUCUAUUUUGUUGGUUUUCGGAACCCCGAGGUAAUGAUUAAUAGGGACAGAUGGGGGCAUUCGUAUUGCGACGUUAGAGGUGAAAUUCUUGGAUCGUCGCAAGACGGACAGAAGCGAAAGCAUUUGCCAAAAAUGUUUUCAUUAAUCAAGAACGAAAGUUAGAGGUUCGAAGGCGAUCAGAUACCGCCCUAGUUCUAACCAUAAACGAUGCCAGCUAGCGAUCCGCCGAAGUUCCUCCGAUGACUCGGCGGGCAGCUUCCGGGAAACCAAAGCUUUUGGGUUCCGGGGGAAGUAUGGUUGCAAAGCUGAAACUUAAAGGAAUUGACGGAAGGGCACCACCAGGAGUGGAGCCUGCGGCUCAAUUUGACUCAACACGGGAAACCUCACCAGGCCCAGACACCGGAAGGAUUGACAGAUUGAUAGCUCUUUCUUGAUUCGGUGGGUGGUGGUGCAUGGCCGUUCUUAGUUGGUGGAGCGAUUUGUCUGGUUAAUUCCGAUAACGAACGAGACUCUAGCCUGCUAAAUAGGCGUACCUUAUGGUAUCGCGAAGGCCCCCGGCUUCGGCCGGUGGGUUUUUACUACCAACGUACAAACAAAUCUUCUUAGAGGGACAGGCGG
rnacentral:rRNA from 1 species